rnacentral:lncRNA from 1 species
CUCCAUUUAGUGAAUAUUAGUAAAUCCCACACAAGAUUUUUUUUCUUCUUUCAUUGAAAGAAUGGGUGAUCUGCUUAAUUUCAAUUUAUAUUUCCCUACUAAAAUCAUUUUGGUGGCUAGUGUAAAGAACAGCAGAUUACUCUCAAGUUUUUUUAUGUUCAGUUUCAUAGAUUUUACUGUGUUAAUGGCAUUUAUGAAAUAUUUUUCAUUUGUACAGAAGUCCAUUAGUCCGGCAUCCAACAGUCCGGAAUGCCCGAUAGUCCGGCAUCGCUCCGGAAAAUUGUAAAAAUUUUGGUUUUCUCCAAAAG